GAUGAACGCUGGCGGCGUGCCUAAUACAUGCAAGUCGAGCGAACGGACCAGAAGCUUGCUUCUCUGAUGUUAGCGGCGGACGGGUGAGUAACACGUGGAUAACCUACCUAUAAGACUGGGAUAACUUCGGGAAACCGUAGCUAAUACCGGAUAAUAUUUUGAACCGCAUGGUUCAAAAGUGAAAGACGGCCUUGCUGUCACUUAUAGAUGGAUCCGCGCUGCAUUAGCUAGUUGGUAAGGUAACGGCUUACCAAGGCCACGAUGCAUAGCCGACCCGAGAGGGUGAUCGGCCACACUGGAACUGAGACACGGUCCAGACUCCUACGGGAGGCAGCAGUAGGGAAUCUUCCGCAAUGGGCGAAAGCCUGACGGAGCAACGCCGCGUGAGUGAUGAAGGUCUUCGGAUCGUAAAGCUCUGUUAUUAGGGAAGAACAUAUGUGUAAGUAACUGUGCUCAUCUUGACGGUACCUAAUCAGAAAGCCACGGCUAACUACGUG
rnacentral:rRNA from 1 species